AUUCUCUCUUUAUCUUUAAUGCUUGACAUUUUAAUUAUAAUGUGUCUUAGUGUGUGCCUCUUUGAGUUUAUCUGGUCUGGUACUCUCUGUGCUUCCUGUACUUGGAUUUCUGUUUACUUCCUGAGGUUGGGAAAAUUUUCAGCUGUUAUUUCUUUGAAUACAUUCUCUGCCUUUUAUCUCUCUCUUCUGCUUCUGAGACACCUGUAAGAUGGAUGUUUGUGUGCUUGAUGUUGUUCCAGAAGUAUCUUAGACUAUCCUUGUUCUUCUUAAUUAUUUUUUCCUUUAUCUGUUCAUCUUGGGUGAUUUCCUCUAGUCUUUCAUCCAGUUUGCUGAUCUGUUCUUCUGUAUCAUCUACUCUGCUAAUGAUAGCCUCUAGUGAAUUGUUCAUUUCCAGGAUUGUAUUCUUCAUUUCUGAUUGGUUCUUUUUUAUAUUUUCCAAUUUUUUGUUGAAGUUCUCACUAAGUUCAUCCAUUCUUCUCCCAAGGUCAGUGAGCAUUGUUAUGACUUUUCAUUUGAGCUCUUUGUCAGGUAGAUUGUUUAUUUUUUUUCAUUUAGUUCUUUUUCUUGCUGUUUUCCUGUUCCCUUACUUGGAAUGUAUUCAUUUUCAUCCUCAUUUUGCCUCUUUCUCUAUUCUUAUAUCAAUUUAUUAGGUAAGUCAGCUAUGUCUCCUGAUCUUGGAGAGGUGGCCUUAUGUUAGAGAUGCUGUAUGAGGCCCAGCAGUGUGCUUCCCUCUCAUCACCAGUGCCAAGUGUUCUAGUGGUGACUCCUGUGUGUCCUCCUGUUGUGUCAGGGUUGCUCUUGCUGCAGGUGCCCAGGGAGGCUAGGCUGUUCCCCUGGCCAAUUGGUUGUAAUGUUCUGCUGUGUGUAACUGCUAUGGGCCCUUCAGUCCCUUUAUCAUUCAUGGGGUGCCCCAGCACAGUUGGCUGCAAAGUCUAACAGCACAUUCAUGUUGUAGUUUUUCUGUUAAAUGACUAGGCCUCCAGAAUGGCUGAUUGCUAGGCUGAGGGGCUUACAAUUGCUGUAUGCCUCCAGCCUACAAGGCUCCUGUCAGCUUUCUCAGGGUUGUGCCUGAGUGGGGCUGGCCCUAGCCAUGGGAGCACUCAAUUGUUUCAGGUUUUGGAAGGUGGGGCCAAUCCCCUAUGUAGCUGUCUGAGAAGAACAAGUCUUUUGCCACUGGCAAGCCCCACCACCCACAGGGCCACACAAUCUGUCAACAGAGUCCUGCCCCACGUGUACAACCUCACCCACUGAAGCAGACCCAGUUGUCCCAGUGCAGAGGCCCCACACAUUCCACCAGUGCCUGACACACUCCACCUGUUCUUUGUGCGUGCCCUUCCCCUCAGAGGUGGACACACUUACUGGGCUACAGAGGAUCCAGGCACCCAGCUAUGCAUGCCCACAAGUUGCUUGAGGGCUUGCUGUUGGGUGGUGCCAGGCUUUAGGGCAGGCUGCUUGCCCCAGCUGAGCUGAAUUAAAUUGGCUCCCUAGUGCACAGGGCAAAUCCUGGGUUGACAGGCCAGUGGAAGAACACCAAUGACAUCUGCCAGCAUCUGUGUCAGUAAGCCUGAACUAGGUCACAAUAAUGGCUGACGCCAAUGUCUCAGUCCCUGGAGAAGUCUCACCUCUCACUGAGAUGCACCCAGAGCCUAUUAGAAUGCACACACAUUGUUGGAGCAGUCACUCCAAAGCCAGUGUAAAGCCAGUGCAAGGCAGAAAAGCUGAAAUGGACGGAAGUGUUCAGUACGUGUGAAGCCAAGAUUUGGGAGUGGCCACCUGAAGAGUCACCUGUCAGCAGCCCCACUCAGCUUCCCUGUUUGCUGGCCCCCAGUUGGCAGCACCUUGGGCUGAGUGAGCUCCAUGGGAACUGGGAAGAGGAAUUCCUCCAGAAAUUCCACAGGCCCCUUCUGUAAUGGACAGUGCCUGUUCUGCAACUGGCUGCUGAGCUAGACAUCCAGGAGGUAGAACAGUUUUCUUGUUGUCCUCAGUACCCUGUAGAUGAGCAGCGAGUGCUCAUUAUCUUCAGUGUGCUCACUGCCUGCAAGACAGUGGAGUUUGAGUCCAUUUUAUGGUCUCCCUCAGAGAAGCCAGGGACGAGUCCACUUUAAUCUGGCGGUGACUGGCCAAAGAGUGCCUGGAAGCUGUAAGCCCCACCUGCCCAUCUCAAAGACUGAAGUCAGUAUCUCAUGACAUAUCUGUGAGCCUUCCACAGUGCACCAUUGAGCUGUUGGGAAGCUUUGCUCCAUAGCACACAGCAAAAUGUUUUAUUCACAGAAGAUGGAAAGGAAAGGAAAAAUUCAGGAGCCUUUCUGUAGAAACUAGAACCUAAAGAGGAAAGAGUGAUAGCCACUGUCAAGCGUAGUUGAGAG
ensembl:lncRNA